rnacentral:rRNA from 1 species
UACGGAGGGUGCGAGCGUUGUCCGGAAUCAUUGGGCGUAAAGGGCGCGUAGGUGGCGGGACAAGCGUGCGGUGAAAGCUCGGGGCUCAACCUCGAGUCGGCCGUGCGAACUGUUUUGCUGGAGCACUGUAGAGGCAGGCGGAAUUCCGGGUGUAGCGGUGGAAUGCGUAGAGAUCCGGAAGAACACCGGUGGCGAAGGCGGCCUGCUGGGCAGUUGCUGACACUGAGGCGCGACAGCGUGGGGAGCAAACAGG